rnacentral:rRNA from 1 species
GACGAACGCUGGCGGCGUGCUUAACACAUGCAAGUCGAACGAAGAGCGAUGGACGCUUGCUUCUAUCAAUCUUAGUGGCGCACGGGUGAGUAACGCGUAAUCAACCUGCCCUUCAGAGGGGGACAACAGUUGGAAACGACUGCUAAUACCGCAUACGAUCUGACCUCGGCAUCGAGGAUAGAUGAAAGGUGGCCUCUAUUUAUAAGCUAUCACUGACGGAGGGGUUUGCGUCUGAUUAGCUAGUUGGAGGGGUAACGGCCCACCAAUGCGAUGAUCAGUAGCCGGUCUGAGAGGAUGAACGGCCACAUUGGGAAUGAGACAAGGCCCAGAAUCCUACGGGAGGCAGCAGUGGGGAAUUUUCCGGAAUGGACGAAAGGCUGAAGGAGCAACGCCGCGUGAGUGAUGACGGCCUUCGGGUUGUAAAGCUCUGUUAAUCGGGACGAAAGGCCUUCUUGCGAAUAGUUAGAAGGAUUGACGGUACCGGAAUAGAAAGCCACGGCUAACUACGUG